AUUUCCUCGCUGCGGUAUAAAAUCAAUUGGUAAAUGAAAUUCAUAAAAUAAUUAAAUUUUAAUUGUACGUUAAGACAACGUAAAUGCAAAUACAAAACAUUGGUAAACCAAUAAUUAAACUUUCGAAAUAUUUAAUUUAAAAACAUCUUUUAAGAACUAGAUGUGUUGCGACUACGAAUGAAUUUCUAAAUACUACGAAAUAAACAAUUGGAUAUCA